rnacentral:rRNA from 1 species
UACGUAGGGUGCAAGCGUUGUCCGGAAUUAUUGGGCGUAAAGAGCUCGUAGGCGGUUUGUCGCGUCGAAUGUGAAAUCCCGGGGCUCAACCCCGGGUCUGCAUUCGAUACGGGCAGACUAGAGUUCGGUAGGGGAGUCUGGAAUUCCUGGUGUAGCGGUGAAAUGCGCAGAUAUCAGGAGGAACACCGGUGGCGAAGGCGGAUCUCUGGGCCUUACCUGACGCUGAGGCGCGAAAGCUAGGGGAGCAAACAGG